AUACGGAGGGUGCAAGCGUUAAUCGGAAUUACUGGGCGUAAAGCGCGCGUAGGCGGUUUGUUAAGUCGGAUGUGAAAGCCCCGGGCUCAACCUGGGAAUUGCAUACGAUACUGGCAAACUAGAGUAUGAGAGAGGGAGGUAGAAUUCCAUGUGUAGCGGUGAAAUGCGUAGAUAUGUGGAGGAAUACCAGUGGCGAAGGCGGCCUCCUGGCUCAAUACUGACGCUAAGGUGCGAAAGCGUGGGGAGCAAACAGGAUUAGAAACCCCGGUAGUCC
rnacentral:rRNA from 1 species